CUGCAGCCUCGUUUUGGACCAAGUGGCCGCCAUUUUGGAUGCCCUUCACCAUUACCAGAGCGUCGACCUUUGCAACCGCUACGAAAUACAGCAAAUAAAACCUUAACUUUGACAAUAUGCUUGGCUCAAUCAUCACACGCGGUGGCCUCGGCCGGGCUCUGCUCACCAUGCGGUCGCAGAUUCAGCAGAGAGCGGGGAUUAUGUCGGAACCAGCCAAAAACCCUAUGAGCGGCACGGAUAAAGCUAUCGGUGCCACAGCCAUCAUGGCGGGUGUUAUGGGAAUCCCUGUCUGGAUCCUAUGCAACUUGAAGAGAUACCAGGGCAAGGAGUAAAGAAGGGGAAGAAGAUGAGAAGAAGAGCGCCAACCAGCCUGAGGGAGAGACAACCACCCGUUCUCGGACAAGCCACUGUCACUACAGAAUGUUUGAGGAAUACGUCUUUGGACUUGCUAGAACGGAAGGUCACAGACUUGCCACCUCGCUAAUGGAAACCACUAGUCUAUGUCAGCAGCCAUGCUCUUCUGAGUAAGGCUUCCCGAUUUAUUUCCAGUUGAACUACACAGCCACACUGCAUUACCUAGAGCCACACUGCAUUACAUGAUCAAGUUGUUGAUUCCAGGGAGGCUUUAUAAAAACAGUGUACUGAAUUUUCAAUUAAUUGACAUGAAAGUACAAAUGUAACUGGUGAGACAAAGCUCAUUUGUCAAUCAAUACAAGUUUGAAAGAAUUUUCAAUCUAUCUUACCGGGUAUUGCUUUAUACAUAUUAUAUACAUGUAUAUCAUCCCAUGAAAAAAACAUUGUCUACAAAAAGUGAAGUAAUAUGACAUAUUUUAACUGUCCCUGUAACUGGAGGCUCUUUCCCCAGGCUGGUUUAGAAAAAGAGAACAUGAUUUUGAAGGGAGUCAUGUUGUAAGAAAAUACCUAGCCUGUGUUCUAGAUUUCUGAUUGAAUAAAUGUGUUAUCUGUCCUGA